ACAGGGAUAUUAUCAGUUUGUUCAUUGCUAUAUCCCCAAGGCUUUAAAUAGUGUUUGGCACAUAGUAAGCACUCAAUAAAUGUAUAUUGAAUAAUUCAAUGAAUGUUCUGCAAUGUGACAGUCCAGUGAGCCACCCAGAUUGCUGAGAUAUGGUCUGCCUAUCUAACACUAUGUGGAGAUAAUAUUUCUGUGGAUUUUUCUGUAUUCUAAAUGCUUGGUUUAGACUGAUUGAUUUUAGUAUUUAGUACUGUGUACUUGAAAUGCUGUUAAUUCUCCAUGUAGUCAAAAAUGGCUAAACUCUCUAAUCCCUUUCUUUACAACUUUGUGGAGUGGAAUUCCCAGGUAAACAACCUGUUAAACGUCUUGUUAGAUUUCUUUUAGUUGUGUAUAUUUUGGGGGCAGUGAUAGUGGUGGCAAAGAGACACUUUAAUGGAAAACCAUAAGUUAGGAUUCCCCAUUCUCUACUUAAAACUCCAAUAAGUUCUUUUUUCAAAUUAAAAAAAUAUAUAUAUGUUUUAACUUUUAGUUUUAGAGAGAGCAUGUGAGUGGGGGAGAGGAGCAGAAGGAGAGAGAGAGGAUCUUAAGCAGGCUCCACACUCGGCAUGUAGCCUGAUAUGGAGCUCAAUCCCAUGACCCUGAGAUCGUGACCUGAUCCGAAAUCAAGAGUCGGAUGCUCAACCCACUGAGCCACCCGGGUGACCCUAAAACUCCAAAAAAAUUCUUAACUGAAAUUUUGAUAAAAAGCAAAUGAGGCUAUGUAGCAUAAGAUGAAUAAAGGGUACUAUAGUGUAGUUGCACUAGCCACAUUUUAAGUGCUUAGUUGUCACACAUGGCUAGUCACUAUCAUUUUGAACAGUGCAGUUAUAGAACGUUUCAUCAUUGCAAACAAUUCUACUGGACAGCACUGCCCUACACAGUGGGGACUGUGAAGAUUGAUCUAGAUAAUAAGGUUUUGACUAGGAGCAAUCCUACAAAUAACUUUCAAGAUAUGUAACCUGAAUGAGAACAUCGAAAAGUCUAAACCACCCAUAAGUUUUGAAGCUGUCCAUUACUUUUCAACCUAAUAUAUUCUGGAGCUUGGUACUGAGAGUAAAGAAAAAAAAAUAGGUAAGAAA